UUAAAAUUGUUGCAGUUAAAACGCUCGUAGUUGAAUUUCAAAGAAUCAAUAUUUUAAGUAAUAAUUUUGCUAUAAGAUGCUUAGACAAUACAACGUAUCUGUUCUUUGCAUUCCUUAUGCAAAAUGUGUUCUUAUUAUAAAAAGGAUUCUUUUUAAAAUCUCUUUUGCUAUUUUUUAGUAUUGGAGAUUUUGUUACUUUGAGUAAAUUAGAGUGUUCAAAGCAAACAGUUAAAGCAUUUUUACUGCGUUUGAAUACUACAGCAUGGAAUAACAAAAUUGAACAAGUCAGAAUUCUGUUCUUUUUUCUUAUUUUGGCUUAGUUACGAUUAAUAGGAGUAGCUUGGGGGCAUUUGUAUUCAGAUGUCAGAGGUGAAAUUCUUAGAUUUUCUGGAGACAAACAACUGCGAAAGCAUUUGCCUAAUAUAUUUCCAUUAAUCAAGAACGAAAGUUAAGGGAGUGAAGACGAUCAGAUACCGUCGUAAUCUUAACCAUAAACUAUACCAACUAGGUUUUGGAUGAAAAGUUUUUAAAUAAGAGAAUUCCUUUCGGGGAAAUUUCUUAGAUUGCUUCUUUCAGUACCUUAUGAGAAAUCAAAGUCUUUGGGUUCUGGGGCGAGUAUUCGCGCAAGCGAGAAAGUUAAAAGAAUUGACGGAAGGGCACCACCAGGCGUGGAGCUUGCGGCUUAAUUUGACUCAACACGGGGAAACUCACUAGUUUAAGACAAGAGUAGGAUUGACAGAUUAAUAGCUCUUUCUUGAUUUCUUGGAUGGUGAUGCAUGGCCGUUUUUAGUUCGUGAAUAUGAUUUGUCUGGUUAAUUCCGAUAACGAACGAGAUCUUAACCUGCUAAUUAGCGGCGAAUACGUGAUAUUCUUAUGCGAAAUUGAAUAUAGCUGAAUUUGCUUAUUUUGAAGAAUACAUUAGGAUACAAUUAAUGUGUCCUUUUCCCUAUUCUUCUUAAUUCGCAAUUCAUGCUGUUUCUCUUUUGCAUUAGAAUGUAUUCGUUUGAUUGUAAAGCUUCUUAGAGGAACGAUGUGUGUCUAACACAAGGAAGUUUAAGGCAACAACAGG
rnacentral:rRNA from 1 species